rnacentral:rRNA from 1 species
CCCUUAGAUGUUCUGGGCUGCACGCGUGUUACAAUCGGGAGUACAACAAGAUUGCAAAUCCUAGUGGAUGAGUGGUUCUUCGAAAUUUUCUGAAGACUGGGAUAGUUGAUUGAAAUUCUUCAUCUUCAACGAGGAAUGCCUAGUAAACGCAAGUCAUCAGCUUGCAUUGAUUACGUCCCUGCCCUUUGUACACACCGCCCGUCGCUCCUACCGAUUGAAUGAUCCGAUGAAUACCAUGGAUUGAGAGUUCGAACAGGUUCGCCUGUUUCAGCUUCUCGAGAAGUGGAGUAAAUCUUAUCAUUUAGAGGAAGGAGAAGUCGUAACA